rnacentral:rRNA from 1 species
UACGUAGGGUGCGAGCGUUGUCCGGAAUUAUUGGGCGUAAAGAGCUCGUAGGCGGCUUGUCGCGUCGGAUGUGAAAGCCCGGGGCUUAACUCCGGGUCUGCAUUCGAUACGGGCAGGCUAGAGCUCGGUAGGGGAGAUUGGAAUUCCUGGUGUAGCGGUGGAAUGCGCAGAUAUCAGGAGGAACACCGAUGGCGAAGGCGGCAUCCUGGCCCUGUCCUGACGCUCAGGGGCGAAAGCGUGGGGAGCAAACCGG